rnacentral:rRNA from 1 species
ACAGAGGGUGCAAACGUUGUUCGGAAUUACUGGGCGUAAAGCGCAUGUAGGCGGCCAAGCAGGUCGGAUGUGAAAUCCCUCGGCUCAACCAAGGAAGUGCAUUCGAAACCGCAUGGCUGGAGUCCCGGAGAGGGUAGUGGAAUUCUCGGUGUAGAGGUGAAAUUCGUAGAUAUCGAGAGGAACACCGGCGGCGAAAGCGGCUACCUGGACGAGGACUGACGCUGAGAUGCGAAAGCGUGGGGAGCAAACAGGA